rnacentral:ribozyme from 14 species
UCCACUUUUUUUUUUUUUUUUCAUCUUUCACCUCUUGGCAGCAGGCUAUCAAAUGCACACCUCACAGGCACGUAAAUCCGAACUGCCGCUCGAAAAACAAAGUGGAAAAAAACACAGUCCAGGAAA